UGGGGAAUAUUGCGCAAUGGGCGAAAGCCUGACGCAGCGACGCCGCGUGUGGGAUGAAGGUCUUCGGAUUGUAAACCACUGUCGCGAGGGACGAAAAUCUGACGGUACCUCGAAAGGAAGCACCGGCUAACUCUGUGCCAGCAGCCGCGGUAAUACAGAGGGUGCGAGCGUUGUCCGGAAUCACUGGGCGUAAAGGGCGCGUAGGCGGCCGGGUAAGUAGGGGGUGAAAUCUCACAGCUCAACUGUGAGGCUGCCUUCUAGACUGCUUGGCUUGAGCACGGUAGAGGCUGGUGGAAUUCCCGGUGUAGCGGUGGAAUGCGUAGAGAUCGGGAAGAACAUCGGUGGCGAAGGCGGCCAGCUGGGCCGUUGCUGACGCUGAGGCGCGAAAGCGUGGGGAGCAAACAGG
rnacentral:rRNA from 1 species